ensembl:misc_RNA Metazoa_SRP Metazoan signal recognition particle RNA
GCUGGGCAUGGUGGCUCAUGCCUGUAAUCCCAGCACUUUGGGAGGCUGAGAUGGGAGGAUUGCUUGAGGCCAGGAGUUUGAGACCAGCCUGGGCAACAUGGCAAGAUCCCAUCUCUA